CCUACGGGGGGCAGCAGUGAGGAAUAUUGGUCAAUGGCCGUAAGGCUGAACCAGCCAAGUCGCGUGAAGGAAGAAGGAUCUAUGGUUUGUAAACGUCUUUUAUAGGGGAAUAAAGGGAUCCACGUGUGGAUAGUUGCAUGUACCCUAUGAAUAAGCAUCGGCUAACGCCGUGCCAGCAGCCGCGGUAAUACGGAGGAUGCGAGCGUUAUCCGGAUUUAUUGGGUUUAAAGGGUGCGUAGGGUGUUUUUUAAGUCAGCGGUGAAAGUUUGGGGCUCAACCAUAAAAUUGCCGUUGAAACUGGCAGCCUUGCGUGUGUUUGCGUUCGGCGGAAUGCGUGUUGUAGCGGUGACAUGCCUAGAUAUCACGCAGAACUCCGAUUGCGCAGGCAGCUUACUACGCCAUAACUGACACUGCAGCACGACAGCGUG
rnacentral:rRNA from 1 species